rnacentral:rRNA from 1 species
AAUCAACGCUGGCGGCGUGCCUCAGACAUGCAAGUCGAACGAUUAAAGCUCUCUUCGGAGAGUGCAUAGAGUGGCGCACGGGUGAGUAACACGUAAGUAAUCUACCUUCGAGUGGGGAAUAACGUCCGGAAACGGACGCUAAUACCGCAUAAUGCAGCGGCAUCGUAAGAUGACAGUUGUUAAAGAUUUAUCGCUUGAAGAGGAGCUUGCGGCAGAUUAGCUAGUUGGUAAGGUAAUGGCUUACCAAGGCUACGAUCUGUAACCGGUCUUAGAGGACGGUCGGUCACACUGACACUGAAUAACGGGUCAGACUCCUACGGGAGGCAGCAGUCGGGAAUUUUGGGCAAUGGGCGAAAGCCUGACCCAGCAACGCCGCGUGAAGGAUGAAGUAUUUCGGUAUGUAAACUUCGAAAGAAUAGGAAGAAUAAAUGACGGUACCGGAAGAAUAAGCCCCCGGCUAAACUUCGUGCCAGCAGCCGCGGU